AUUGAACGCUGGCGGCAUGCUUUACACAUGCAAGUCGAACGGUAACAGGCCUUCGGGUGCUGGCGAGUGGCGAACGGGUGAGUAAUGCAUCGGAACGUACCCAGAGGUGGGGGAUAACGCAGCGAAAGCUGUGCUAAUACCGCAUGUGAUCUGAGGAUGAAAGCGGGGGACCGAGCAGCAAUGUUUGGCCUCGCGCCUUUGGAGCGGCCGAUGUCGGAUUAGCUAGUUGGUGGGGUAAAGGCCUACCAAGGCGACGAUCCGUAGCUGGUCUGAGAGGACGACCAGCCACACUGGGACUGAGACACGGCCCAGACUCCUACGGGAGGCAGCAGUGGGGAAUUUUGGACAAUGGGCGCAAGCCUGAUCCAGCAAUGCCGCGUGCGGGAAGAAGGCCUUCGAGUUGUAAACCGCUUUUGGCAGGAACGAAACGGUGUCCGCUAAUACCGGGCGCUAAUGACGGUACCUGCAGAAUAAGCACCGGCUAACUACGUG
rnacentral:rRNA from 1 species